CGUAUCUGCUAAUUUCAAAGUUAAUUUAGUAUUUAUAGUUUCCAAAACGGAUAAUUUUUAUCUACAAAAGUCCGUGAUAAAAAAGUAUGUACACAUGUAUUUUAUCGACAGAAAUAUAUAACGAUUGUUACAUCAGAGCAAGUACCAUUUGCGUAGUACAUCUUGACCUUCUGCUACAUCUAAAUCCUGUUACUGUGACUGCACUAUGGAUUUAGUAGCACUACUUCUUGUUGUAAAUCUCGCAUUUGCACAUAGCUCAUGCAACAAAGAAAAUGAACUGUACCUCAUAAGAAGUGGACAUUCCAAUAAUUUGAUGUUGGAUGCAACUGACCCUAAUCAAGUAAAAAUACAACCUUUUACUGGUUCUAGUGCCCAGUUGUGGAAAAUUGUGCGUGCAAGCAGAGCUGGUUAUUUCUAUAUUAUUAAUCACAAUACAAGUAACGCCCUUGACUACCAGUACAGACCAGCACAAAAAAAUCAAUAUCUUCUCAAGAUAGCACCGCUCCUGCACAAUUCACGACAAGAAUAUAUGGUAAACAGGAACGGCCGUCUUUCAAAUGUUUACACAGAACAGAACAUAGACAUCGUAGAUGCUCAAUUUCAACCUGGCACGUUUGUACAGUUAUGGGCUGACAAUGGAGACGAAGCACAAGAGUUUAUUUUAGAGAAAAACAGAUAAAUGUUUGUUUUUUUAUUUCGAAUUUGUCGGACAACUAAGAUUUAAGUGUGUAGUUUUAA